GCCUGUUUGGCUCAGUCUGUUAAGCAUCUGACUUCGACUCAGGUCGUGAUUUCACAGUUUGUGAGUUUGAGCCCUGCAUCAGGCU
rnacentral:tRNA from 1 species